rnacentral:rRNA from 1 species
GAUGUUUAGGGGACCUGAGAGGGUGAUCCCCCACACUGGUACUGAGACACGGACCAGACUCCUACGGGAGGCAGCAGUGAGGAAUAUUGGUCAAUGGGCGGAAGCCUGAACCAGCCAUCCCGCGUGCAGGAAGACGGCGCAAUGCGUUGUAAACUGCUUUUCCAGGGGGUGAAUUGAUCCGACGUGUCGGGUUUUGACGGUACCCUGGGAAUAAGCAUCGGCUAACUCCGUGCCAGCAGCCGCGGUAAUACGGAGGAUGCGAGCGUUAUCCGGAUUUAUUGGGUUUAAAGGGUGCGUAGGCGGACAAAUAAGUCAGUGGUGAAAACCUGCAGCUUAACUGUAGAUGUGCCGUUGAUACUGUUAGUCUUGAGUGUGGUCAAGGUAGGCGGAAUGUGUAAUGUAGCGGUGAAAUGCUUAGAUAUUACACAGAACACCGAUUGCGAAGGCAGCUUGCUGGGCCAUUACUGACGCUGAUGCACGAAAGCGUGGGGAUCGAACAGGAUUAGAUACCCUGGUAGUCCACGCCGUAAACGAUGAUCACUCGCUCUUAGCGAUACACAGUUAGCGGCUAAGCAAAAGCAUUAAGUGAUCCACCUGGGGAGUACGGCCGCAAGGCUGAAACUCAAAGGAAUUGACGGGGGCCCGCACAAGCGGAGGAACAUGUGGUUUAAUUCGAUGAUACGCGAGGAACCUUACCUGGGCUUAAAUGUAGAGUGCAUUCUGCCGAAAGGCGGAUUUUCUUCGGAACUCUCUGCAAGGUGCUGCAUGGUUGUCGUCAGCUCGUGCCGUUAGGUGUCGGGUUAAGUCCCAUAACGAGCGCAACCCUUAUCGUUAGUUGCCAGCGGGUCAAGCCGGGAACUCUAACGAAACUGCCGGUGUAAACCGAGAGGAAGGUGGGGAUGACGUCAAAUCAGCACGGCCCUUAUGUCCAGGGCUACACACGUGUUACAAUGGCCGGUACAGAGGGCAGCUACCUGUUGACAGGAUGCGAAUCUCGAAAGCCGGUCUCAGUUCGGAUCGGAGUCUGCAACUCGACUCCGUGAAGCUGGAUUCGCUAGUAAUCGCGCAUCAGCCAUGGCGCGGUGAGUACGUUCCCGGGCCUUGUACACACCGCCCGUCAAGCCAUGGAAGUUGGGGGUACCUGAAGUCCGUAACCGCAAGGAGCGGCCUAGGGUAAAACCAGUGACUGGGGCUAAGUCGUAACAAGGUA